GGGCAUAGAACAUUUAGUGUAAUAGUUGGACACUUUGUUUCUCAUUUAUUAUUAAUAGCCCAUAGUAAGCAAUAGACAGCUUGUUCAAACAGAAAAUCAAGAAAGAAAUAGCAGCUAAAUGGAACCUAAAAGGGAUCUAUGGACUAUUCCAUCUAGUAGCUUCUGAAUAUAUAUUUUUAUUUUUCAUCAGUAAAUAGAAUAUUCCCUAGGAUAGAUGAUAUGAAGGACAAAAAACAGGUUUGAAAAAAUUAAAAAUUAAAACCACACACUUUCCUGAUCACAAUAUCACAAAUCUGGAAAUCAAUACCAAGAAAAUUUUGUAAGUUAUGUAAUUAAAUGGAAAUUAAACAAUUUCCUUCAAAACAAUAGAUAUAGGAAGAAAUUUAAAAGGCUUUUUUAAUUUUGUGAAAAAAUUGAUAUGGACUACAAUAUAUCGAAACAGCAAAACAAAGACCUUAGAUUAGAACCUAUUAUAUCAGUUUUUUCUAAGCCAAUGGCAUUUUUCACUAUAUUCUAAAUAAUUGUUCUUAAACUCACUCCUAAAUACAACUACAACCCUUCAUCAAAGAAGCUUCUUUUUUCAAUGGACUGAAGCUUCUACAGAGAUCUACAAUACGCCAAAAUGCAGAUAGUAAGUGACUAUAGGAUGCCCAGCCCCAAUUGGUACAUCUGCAAUAUAAGUCCUAUACCUAAGGCUUGAGAAGCUUUGCAGAAUAGGGCCAGAAAUAUGAGUAAAAAAAGAACUAGGAUUCUUGCUGCUGGAUGGUAUCUUCUAGGCUUCACAGGAAUGGUGUGCCUGUGAAAGCUCAAUAAUAGGGUUGUCUAAACAAGACCAAUAUAAUGAUCACUUAAAAUGAUACACUAAGAUGGAUAGCAGAAAUUUCUUUCAUAAGGUCCCAAUGUAGUUACAGGCUACAAAGAAAAGGAGAUUAGUUAGGUUAUCUAAUCUCAAGUGGUCAGCCCUAAACAGAGGUACAUUAGAGCAACACUAGAUGUGAUCAGUGUGUUAUGUUUGUGUGUGAAUUUGUGUAUGUGUGUGUCUCUAUGAAACAAUAAUUAUAGAAGUAAAGGAGAGGUCAUUAACAUAAGAGGUAGUUAGGGAGCAUGAAAGAAGUUGGAAUAGUGAGAGAGAUGGGUGGAAAUGAUAGGAAUACAGUACAAAGGUAUGAAAUUUUCAAUAAAUAAUUUAAAUUUUAAAAGGUAAUUCAUAGCAGUCAUUGCUCCCAUGUCAAUAAAGUACAAAUUUACACCAUAUUACUACAUCUCAAAGAACUAGAAAACAAAGACAAAACAAAUCCAUAUUUAGUACAAUGAUGGAAAUAAUAAAUCUCAGAGUUGAAAUAAGUACUGACUAAAUAACACUAUGAAUGAUGAAUGCAUCUAAGAGCUUGUGCUAUCAAAACAAAAUAAGACCUUAUCGAAACUAACAAAAAAGAAAACCUCAAAUGAAAUUACAGACAGAAAGGGAGAUAGUGAAAGAGAAAACAGAUAUACAAAAGAACAUUGGAAAUCAUUGAGAAUAGAUACACGGUAACACAUUUUACAACCUAGAACAAUAUGGCAAAUUUCUAGACACAUGUACCUCCAGAGAAUGAAACAGGAAGAACCAGAAGACCUAUCAGAAGACAAAGAAUAAGAUCCAGCAAACAGAAAACGCCCCCAUCAAAGAAAAGCCCAGGAAAAGAUGGUGUCACUGAUGAAUUCUAGCAAAUAUUUAAAGAACUGGUACAAAUUCUCUUCAAUUUCUUCCACAUUAGAGAAGAUGUAUACAUUUUUCACACAUACUCUGUGAGGCCAGAAUUAUUUUCAUACCAAAACUUAAUGAUAUGUUUUUCAAAGAAGAAUACAGGCUAGUAUUAUGGAUCAACUUAGAUGUAAAAAUCCUCAACAAGAUAGAAGACAACUGAGUCCAAAAGCACACUUAAAGAUUAUUCACUGUGACUAAGGCUGAUUCAUCUCAGGGAUACUAAGGUGGAUCAGUACAGAGAAAUCAAAAGAAGUGAUACCCUAUGUAAUCAGAAUGAAGUAUGUGAGUCAUAUAUAUGGUCAACUCAAUAUAUAUAGCAAAAGCAUUUGAUAAAUUCAACAUCCUUUUAUGAUAAAAGCUGAGCAAAUUAAGUUUUGAAAAAUGCUUCUCAGCCUUGGGCAUUGGUGAUGCAUGCCUUUAAUCCCAGCACUCAGGAGGC
ensembl:lncRNA